AGUGAACGUUGGCGGCGCGGAUUAGGCAUGCAAGUCGAGCGAGAACCGUAGCAAUACGGGGACAGCGGCGAAAGGGACAGUAAUGUGUAGGUACCUACCCCGGGGUCUGGGAUAGCUGCGGGAAACUGCAGGUAAUACCGGAUAAUGUCUUCGGACCACAGGUGUGAUUCCACCUUGGGAGUGGCCUGCAUCCUAUUAGCUUGUUGGCGGGGUAACGGACCACCAAGGCAACGAUGGGUAGCGGGUGUGAGAGCACUACCCGCGUCAUUGGGACUGAGAUACUGCCCAGACACCUACGGGUGGCUGCAGUCGAGGAUCUUCGGCAAUGGGCGAAAGCCUGACCGAGCGACGCCGCGUGCGGGAUGAUGGCCUUCGGGUUGUAAACCGCUGUCGUAGAGGAGGAAAUGCAGGAGGGUUCUCCCUUCUGUUUGACCUAUUCUAGGAGGAAGGACGGGCUAAGUUCGUGCCAGCCGCCGCCGUAA
rnacentral:rRNA from 1 species